rnacentral:rRNA from 1 species
CCUACGUGGUGCUGCAGUGGGGAAUAUUGGACAAUGGGCGAAAGCCUGAUCCAGCCAUGCCGCGUGUGUGAAGAAGGCCUUCGGGUUGUAAAGCACUUUCAGUGGGGAAGAAAGCCUUGGGGCUAAUACCCUCGAGGAAGGACAUCACCCACAGAAGAAGCACCGGCUAACUCCGUGCCAGCAGCCGCAGGUAAUACGGAGGGUGCGAGCGUUAAUCGGAAUUACUGGGCGUAAAGCGCGCGUAGGCGGUGUGAUAAGCCGGUUGUGAAAGCCCCGGGCUCAACCUGGGAACGGCAUCCGGAACGGUCAGGCUAGAGUGCAGGAGAGGAAGGUAGAAUUCCCGGUGUAGCGGUGAAAUGCGUAGAGAUCGGGAGGAAUACCAGUGGCGAAGGCGGCCUUCUGGACUGACACUGACGCUGAGGUGCGAAAGCGUGGGUAGCAAACAGGAUUAGAUACCCUUGUAGUC